rnacentral:tRNA from 1 species
GCCUGGGUAGCUCAGUCGGUUAAGUGUCUGACUUUGACUCAGGUCAUGAUCUCACGGUCUGUGGGUUCGAGCCCCACGUCGGGCU